GGUCGGGUGGUGUAGUUGGUUAUCACAUCUCGUUAACAUCUUGUUAAUAAAACACAUUCAAUGUGCCGAGAAGGUCCUGGGAUCGAGCCCCAGCCUGAUCA